rnacentral:rRNA from 1 species
GGGUGCGAUCAUACCAGCACUAAAGCACCG